GACGAACCGUGCGAACGGUGUUCGGAAUCACUGGGCUUAAAGGGCGCGUAGGCGGGUCAGCAAGUCCGGGGUGAAAUCUUUCGGCUUAACCGGAAAAGUGCCUUGGAUACUGCUGGUCUCGAGGGAGGUAGGGGUCUGCGGAACUUCUGGUGGAGCGGUGAAAUGCGUUGAUAUCAGAAGGAACGCCGGUGGCGAAAGCGGCGGACUGGACCUCUUCUGACGCUGAGGCGCGAAAGCUAGGGGAGCAAACGGG
rnacentral:rRNA from 1 species